UGAAAUCAACGGUGUCUUUUUUUAACAAUGAAUGCCUACAAAGCUUUGCGAUUGGCAGUUUUUGCUGCAGUGAUACUUCAUGGAUUCAUUCUGUGCUUCGGACAACCGGGAAACCUUCCACAAUCCCGGGAUGAUUGGGAUCUUAAAGAAUGUAAAUCGCAGUGUGGCUCAUACAACAAUUACACGUGCAGUGAAGAAAACUGCACAUGUAUUUAUGUUGAUAACAACGCGAAUGGCACCUGCUACGACUUAAGUGAUUACGAUUAUUCUGAAAGUGCCAGUGAUACUGCCGCAUAGACGUCAACCAAAGCGGAAGACCUGUCAUUUGCUGUACCACAAUUAUACAGUUCAAAUAAAGCUACGAUU